CACGUAGGGUGCGAGCGUUGUCCGGAAUUAUUGGGCGUAAAGAGCUCGUAGGCGGUGUGUCGCGUCGGCCGUGAAAACCUGCAGCUUAACUGUGGGCUUGCGGUCGAUACGGGCAUCACUGGAGUUCGGCAGGGGAGACUGGAAUUCCUGGUGUAGCGGUGAAAUGCGUAGAUAUCGAGAGGAGCACCUGCGGCGAAGGCGGGUUGCUGGGCCGACACUGACGCUGAUGCGCGAAAGCCAGGGGAGCGAACGGG
rnacentral:rRNA from 1 species